CACCAAGGCCUGGUGUCUGCUGCCAAGUGCCCUUGGCACAUGCUCAUCAAGCUGCUCCCACAUAUUUACCCAUAUGGAACACCGGGAGCAUCCCAAUCUCCCCAUUCUCCUGCCUAAUGCCGCGCUUCCACGCUCCUUGUAUCAGCUGGAAUCGCUUUUCCACCUCUCCUCUCUGCUGGAGCAGAGCACAAAGCUCUCCCCUCCCUGCUCCCCUCUCCACCCAGAGCAGCGUUGGAAAUGCCUCUGGAAAUACCUCGGGAGAGUUGAGAGGCGGCCAAGAGGCCUCUGAUCCCGGCCUGGAGCGAGCACAUCCCAAUCCCGGCGCGUGGGAGCCGAGGCACCUCCCUCCCUGCUGCUCUGCUGAGGGUUGCAGGAAUGCCGGCCUUUUGUCAUCCUGGAGCAAUGCUUUUGGGUGGAUUUGGGAUGGUUUUAGUCACCCGCUGUCGGGAUGAAGCAGCUCAGAGCAAGUUGGUGCCAGGUUUCAAUCCAUUCCCAAGCAUCCAAAGAUAAAAUGUGAUGCUGAAGUGGAAAGAGUCCCAAAGCUGCAUCUGGGAGUGAAACUCCCUUUAAAACUUCCUGAAAAUAGGAACUCUAAUAAUAAUAACACAUAUUUUUUCCCUCUUUCAGCCCCCCCCCAGGCUCUCACUGCUGGCUGCUAAACCCCAAAUAUCCCUGUUUCUCCUAUAAAACUGGAGCUUGUGGAAUUGCUCCAGAGUCAUUCCCUGGCUCUCAAUCCCUCCACCUGCCCUGGAAGACAUUUCCCUUGUGCCACCAGGGUCAGAGGGACUAAAAUUCCAAGUAUUUGGGGGCAGCUUAAGCCCCAAAUCCAGUUAAACCAGCAUCUUGCUCGCUUCUCAGUUAAAGCUCAAUCCAAUCCUAUGGUUUUCCUUUGCUUUUGGGGUGAAACCUCGGGAAUACAAUAGGAAACAUGAGGUUUAAUUGUGCUUUAGAGCAGCUGAAUCCCCCCUUUUGUACUGGAUGCAAACAGGGAAGGGACUGAGCCUGAUCUUAGUCCAGGCCUUGGCUCUUGCUUAACUUCACCUUCGGCUCCAGCCUCUUCCAUCCCUCUUUUCCCUAUAGGCUUCCCAAACAAAGCUGCUGCCGGUAUCCUGCUGUCGCUGUGGCUAUAUCGGGUGUCCAUAUGUGCCCAGCUAUUCCUGCUGUGGGUGAUGGAUCCCGGGCUUUGGAGCAAUAUCCCCUUACACAUUCUGCUCCAGAAAUAGCCCGGGCUGAGCCGCCGGGCCCGUGGCAGCCAAAAUAACCCCCCCCCACCCUGCCAUGGCUCCCUGGGUCCAGCAGGGAUCUGGGAAUGCUGCUCCCGGCAGCUCCUGCUGGGGCUGGUGCAGGAGGGAUGUGGUAGCUGCUGGCAGAUAAAAGUGAGGCUGCUGUGGACAGGGGUUAGGAGGGUGGGGUUGGGUUGAGGGGGUUGAGGUGGGGAUGUUGGGGUUGGAACUGAGUGGAGGAUGUUGAGGAUGUUGGGGUUGGGUUGAGGUUGAGUUGGAGAUGUUGGGGUUGGGCUGAGAAGGUUGGGUUGGAGAUGUUGAGGCUGCGGCUCAGUGGAGGACAUUGAGGAUAUUGGGGUUGAGUUGAUAUUGAGGUGUUGGGAUUGAGGAUGUUGGGGUUGGGUUGAGAAGGUUAAGUUGGAGAUACUGGGAUUGAGGUUGGGGUUGGGUUGAGGCAAUUGAGGAUGUUGAGUUUGGGGUUCAGUGGAGGACAUUGAGACAUUGGGAUUGAGUUGAGGUUGAGGGAGUUGAAUUGAGGAGCUUGAGGUUGCAUUGAAGAGGUUGAGGUUGGGUUGAGCAUUGAGGAUGUUGAAGUUGCAUUGAGGAGCCUCAGGUCACGCUGCUGAUAUUGUGUUGUGCUUCUGAUGCCCAUGAGCCACCUCCCCCUGACCAAGCUGACCCCUGGCUCCUUUCUUCC